rnacentral:rRNA from 1 species
CCUACGGGAGGCAGCAGUGAGGAAUAUUGGUCAAUGGACGAGAGUCUGAACCAGCCAAGUAGCGUGAAGGAUGACUGCCCUAUGGGUUGUAAACUUCUUUUAUAUGGGAAUAAAAUGUUCCACGUGUGGGAUUUUGUAUGUACCAUAUGAAUACGGAUCGGCUAACUCCGUGCCAGCAGCCGCGGUAAUACGGAGGAUCCGAGCGUUAUCCGGAUUUAUUGGGUUUAAAGGGAGCGUAGGUGGAUUGUUAAGUCAGUUGUGAAAGUUUGCGGCUCAACCGUAAAAUUGCAGUUGAAACUGGCAGUCGUGAGUACAGUAGAGGUAGGCGGAAUUCGUGGUGUAGCGGUGAAAUGCUUAGAUAUCACGAAGAACUCCGAUGGCGAAGGCAGCUCACUGGACUGCAACUGACACUGAGGCUCGAAAGUGUGGGUAUCAAACAGGAUUAGAUACCCUUGUAGUC